ACGCACCCCACCGAGCGGCUGGAUGAACCUGGCAGAGCGGCGCCCGCGUGUCACAUCUAAUAUGCACGCCGCAGCCGCCAGGUGGUGGGCCCUGUAAUUACGCCGGGAUCUGGACCCGGAAUGCCACAGACCCUUCGCGGCGCCGGGCUGGGAAAUAUUAACAGACAAUUGAUGACUAAAGAAGACAGAUGCAGCCUGUUUAUCACGUCGCAGCAGGAGACAGAAGACGCAAGUGAAGCAAAUGACCUGAAAGUGGGCCGAUUCCCAAAUGUAAAGUGGCUUCUAGUGGCGCCAACUUGGUCAGAACUCGCAGGCUGCUGUAAUUCAACCCAACUGCUGAUAUAAAUGAAGAUAAAACGAGGGCCUGCCUGCUCGAAUUUUUUAUUUUAAUCUGAAGAGCCUGCAAAUGACCCAGAUACCAGAAAAAAAAAUAGUGUUUUGACUUCAGAGAAUCGGAAUAAGAACGUUCGGAGCGCACACAUCACUUUUGCACGAAAGCGAGUGCUCUCACGUCCAGUACUGGCAACGCAAUCCAGUUAAACUAGUAUGUGGAACUAAUUUAACUAGCGCCAGCAGAGCUGAAUUUCCACGGCCCGUGCCAGGAACCGCCUCGCGGACACAAAUCAUCUCAACGGGACCUUUAGACCCCGACCUACAUCUGAUUUGACCCGUAACUGAUUGUGUGUGUGCCGGCCACACCGGUGACCUCCUUUCUACACAAAGGCCUGCACUUUCGCAGAAGUCGGCAUCAGGAAGCUCACGCCGCGAGCUACCAAAUCUGGCUUCAAUCGAAACGACUUCCUUCCGAGCCGCUUCACGGUGAGGGCUUGACACCGGAACGCUUGCCGACCAGCGAGGUGUCUGACCAACACGUCAUCGUUUCAGCUACUUUCAACCAUGUUUUGGAGGAAUUUGUGACCGGUAUCGAUGUACUAGAUUAAACACUCGAACUGUGUUUCGAACUUGUCCAAAAUGUAGAACUUUUGUUUUCAGUUCCACACAUCAUGAUCGCAUCGUGGAGAACCGUGUGUCAAGGCCGUAACAAGGUUGUGGAUCGAGGUGU
rnacentral:lncRNA from 1 species